UACGAAGGGGGCUAGCGUUGUUCGGAAUUACUGGGCGUAAAGCGCGCGCAGGCGGUCUUCCAAGUCAGUGGUGAAAGCCCGGAGCUCAACUCCGGAAUUGCCAUUGAAACUGUUAGACUUGAGGAUGAGAGAGGUGAGUGGAACUGCGAGUGUAGAGGUGAAAUUCGUAGAUAUUCGCAAGAACACCAGUGGCGAAGGCGGCUCACUGGCCCGGUACUGACGCUGAGGUGCGAAAGCGUGGGGAGCAAACAGG
rnacentral:rRNA from 1 species